rnacentral:rRNA from 1 species
GGGGGGGGGGGGGGGGGGGGGGGGGGGGGGGGGGGGGGGGGGGGGGGGGGGGGGGGGGGGGGCGUAGGGGUGGCGGGGGGCGGACGGGUGAGGAAGACAGCGGGGUGUACGUUGGCGGGGGGGGGAACGGAGGGAGACUUACGCUAAUACCGCAUGCGACCUACGGGUGAAAGCAGGGGCGCGGAGGACCUUGCGCGGUUGAAUGAGCCGGUGGCGGAUUAGCUAGUUGGCGGGGUAAAGGCCCACCAAGGCGACGAACCGUAGCUGGUCUGAGAGGAUGAUCAGCCCCAGUGGAACUGAGACACGGUCCAGACUCCUACGGGAGGCAGCAGUGGGGAAUAUUGGACAAUGGGCGCAAGCCUGAUCCAGCCAUACCGCGUGGGUGAAGAAGGCCUUCGGGUUGUAAAGCCCUUUUGUUGGGAAAGAAAAGCAGCAGGUUAAUACCCCGCUGUUCUGACGGUACCCAAAGAAUAAGCACCGGCUAACUUCGUG